rnacentral:rRNA from 1 species
CCUACGGGAGGCAGCAGUGGGGAAUAUUGGGCAAUGGGCGCAAGCCUGACCCAGCAAAGCCGCGUGAAGGAAGAAGGCUUUCGGGUUGUAAACUUCUUUUCUGAGGGACGUAGAACGUGACGGUACCUCAGGUAUAAGCCACGGCUAUCUACGUGCCAGCAGCCGCGGUAAUACGUAGGUGGCAAGCGUUAUCCGGAUUUAUUGGGUGUAAAGGGAGUGUAGGCGGGAAAGCAAGUCAGAUGUGAAAACUCAGGGCUCAACCCUGAGCCUGCAUUUGCAACUGUUUUUCUUGAGUGCUGGGAAGGCAAUCGGAAUUCCGUGUGUAGCGGUGAAAUGCGUAGAUAUACGGAGGAACACCAGUGGCGAAGGCGGAUUGCUGGACAGUAACUGACGCUGAGGCGCGAAAGCGUGGGGAGCAAACAGGAUUAGAUACCCUAGUAGUC